AAAUGAAUAGACGGGGACCCGCACAAGCAGCGGAGCAUGUGGUUUAAUUCGAAGCAACGCGAAAAACCUUACCAAGACUUGACAUUCUGUGCCAGGCUAAGAAAUUAGCUUUUUCUUCGGAACACAGGGACAGGUGGUGCAUGGUUGUCGUCAGCUCGUGUCGUGAGAUGUUCGGUUAAGUCCGAAAACGAGCGCAACCCUUAUCACUAAUUGCCAUCAUUCAGUUGGGAACUUUAGUGAGACUGCCGUGGAUAACACGGAGGAAGGUGGGGAUGACGUCAAAUCAUCAUGCCCCUUACGUCUUGGGCUACACACGUGCUACAAUGGCUGUAACAAAGAGCAGCAAACCCGCAAGGGGGAGCGAAUCUCAAAAAGACAGUCUCAGUUCAGAUUGAGGGCUGAAACCCGCCCUCAUGAAGUCGGAGUUGCUAGUAAUCGCGAAUCAGCAUGUCGCGGUGAAUGCGUUCCCGGGUCUUGUACACACCGCCCGU
rnacentral:rRNA from 1 species